GACAGAGGUCUCAAGCGUUAGGCGGAAUCACUGGGCUUAAAGCGUGUGUAGGCGGAUCGUUAAGUGCCUUGUGAAAUCCCACAGCUCAACUGUGGAACUGCUUGGCAUACUGGCGGUCUUGAGCCAUCUAGGGGUCGCUGGAACAAACGGUGGAGCGGUGAAAUGCGUAGAUAUCGUUUGGAACGCCAAUGGUGAAAACAGGCGACUGGGGAUGUGCUGACGCUGAGACACGAAAGCGUGGGGAGCGAACAGG
rnacentral:rRNA from 1 species